rnacentral:lncRNA from 1 species
GCCCCAGUCUUCCCGCGGUGUCUGCGGCGCGCACGCUCCUCGCACACAGCCCUGACUGAGGAACCUUUGUUAGCACGCGCCCCGCGCCGAGGGCUUCACAGAUUGAGACGGUUUACCCGGUGCAGAAGGCUGUAAAGGAGGUCUGGACUGGUGACUUUUGUGUGGGUCCCUUCGGGCGCCCUCCGGCUGCCCACGGGGUUUUCCCGGGCCGAGCUUCCGGGUCCUCCUCGUGGGAAGGGGCAGGACGACGCGGCGGACCGGACCUCGGACGGAGUGCGAUCCGGGCCUGGUUUGCUUCCACGCGGCUCCUCCGGUGGCUUCUCCCCCCACUCGUGCUGUGGUCUCUCCCAUCUGCUAAGGACAGAACUCCCUCCGCCGUGAGUAUUAACUCUUCCGAGGAUCACACGUUAAUGGAAGGGGUAGACCCUUUUCCCGUUAGCAUGACAUUGUAAAGCACUAGUGCUCCAGAAAGAAACCAAGAUUAUCCUUUGCAAGUAAAACAAGAUACCAAGAGAAUAUGUUAAAUCUCAGCAUUAUAAAAAAGGAAGAAAAAGAAGAGAACAACGUAAUACACAUUUUGGAAAAUACUGAAAGGAGAGGUGCCCUCUAGCCAGUGUGAGAUUACAGAUAAUCUUUACUGUGCUUUUAAACCAAAAUCUCCAAAUCUGGCCACCAUUUCCCGAAUUUUCUACAAUCAGUAUAAAUUAAUUUUAAACAUUAGUUUUUGUGAAACUGAGACUUCCUCAGUGGCCUCAUAUCUGGCCAAUUUUAGCAAACAAACCAUAUAUGUUAGAGGACAAUAUAUAAGGAAGACGUAGCCUCUGAUUCGGGAAUUUCUAAUUUGUCUUUCAUGUAUCUGAGUUUUAAAUAAUUUUGAAAUCCGUGUUGGGCUUGCUGUAUCAGGUUUUGAGAAGGAGAUUAAACUCUUUCACAUUAUGGGCUUGUACAUUAUUUCUUCUUAUUCUGUCAAUUUUUGUUUGGGAGAGUACCAAGCUCUGUUAUUACACACAUGAAGUUCACAGGCAUUUCUAUUAUGGAAAAAGUAGUUAAUAGGCACCUAAGACUUAAUACUUUUCUUUAAAUUAUACUCUGUGUGACAUUAAAAUUGCAUGACUUUUAUUAUUUGUGUUUUUCCUGCAUUAAAAAAUCUGCUUUUGAUACAUACCCCA